rnacentral:rRNA from 1 species
UGGGGAAUUUUGGACAAUGGGCGCAAGCCUGAUCCAGCCAUGCCGCGUGCGGGAAGAAGGCCUUCGGGUUGUAAACCGCUUUUGUCAGGGAAGAAAUCUUCUGAGUUAAUACCUCGGGAGGAUGACGGUACCUGAAGAAUAAGCACCGGCUAACUACGUGCCAGCAGCCGCGGUAAUACGUAGGGUGCAAGCGUUAAUCGGAAUUACUGGGCGNAAAGCGUGCGCAGGCGGUUUUGUAAGACAGAGGUGAAUCCCCGGGCUCAACCUGGGAACUGCCUUUGUGACUGCAAGGCUUGAUGCGGCAGAGGGGAUGGAAUUCCGCGUGUAGCAGUGAAAUGCGUAGAUAUGCGGAGGAACACCGAUGGGAAGCAAUCCCUGGGCUGCACUGACGCUCAUGCACGAAAGCGUGGGGAGCAAACAGGAUUAGAUA